rnacentral:lncRNA from 1 species
CCGAGCUUUCGCGACUCUGCCUCUGCCUGCCGCCUGGACCCUUGUGGGAGCGCGGCUGGAAAAUGCACCAACCGUGUGCCUCAAGCUAACUGUCAAGAAAAGCAUGCGUCAGUUGGCUGGAGUGAGCAAUUCAACUCGUGGAGGAAUGAGAAAUGUUAGCGUUGAGACGAGAAACAUAAAACCCCAGGUUAAGGGCGUCUGUCGCUGCAAACUACAGGUAAACUAGUUGGAAAGCUCCGCAGAUUCUCACGGUGGUGCCCAGCAGGCCAGCCCUAGCUGCCCUUUAACCUGUGACUGAGGAUGAUGCCACUGGCCUCGGCGGUGGCAGUGUUGGUG